GCUAGUCUUACAAGACUUCCAGCCAUAGUUGAGCUCUUUACAUGUAUUUCUUGGGGACCCUUAUCUAUUAAUUCUUUGACCUAUCUUUUUAGGACUUCUCUCCUGACAACACUAACCCUAUGGAUAGUCCCUCCCAUGCUGUCUGUGAUCAUCCUACCAGGCCCUGCUGCCAGCAUGAAAAAUACAAUAUCAAGUUUGAGGAAAUCUGUGGCAGAAAAUAAUACCAACUUUUGCAUGUACUACUGAGUAACUGGACUCCAAAAGUGAAACAGAGAGAGUGACAAGUAAUGAUGGACAAGAAAAGGCUCAUCCCUUAGACACAAAGCAAGCUCCAAGAUCUGCUCUUCCUACUUGUGUUAUAUUUACCUUGUCUUUCUGUACUGUGGAGACACAGGAACUCACAGGGCAUGGUGAUCCAAGCUUGCAAAUGGAAACAAGGUCUACAGUCUCGGUGAGGAAGCUGGCAUGGUGGGGUGUGUUAAGGCCCACAACAUAUUACAUGAUGAUGGAUUGAUGGGACCACAUCAAGGGGCCCUGAGAGCAAUGUGGCUCUUUGGGUAAGAGGAGAUGGCAGAAUCAGAGGAACAUCGUUAGUUAACCCACCCACAGUGCGGGAGAGACCUCAAAACCAACAAACAAUAGGUUAGAAGCUCACAGCUGGAGGUGGCAGCCCCAUAAUAACACCAGUGACAAAAAUCAAAGGAAUAAGAAGGAGCAGUUAACAUUUCCUCCACAAAUGCUAAAAACAGCACCAAAUAAUGUGUAUGAAUCAUCAUAUCUACUCUUACGCAAGCUGGAAUAAAAAUGUAAGAGUCAUGCAAACUGGGAUAAACUGUCACGCUCUGAGACAUAAUGCAUCUCCAGAAGUAAAGAAGAAACUGUUCCACAGGCAAGACUUGGCAUAAUUACACUCUGUGCGGGAUUUUGCACCUUUCUUUAAAGUAUCUGUGCUAACAACUGCCAGAGAUGACGUACCAAGCUGCAGAAGGCGUUUGGCUAACCUGCAGUGGCAGUGCCUAUCUCACUACUGGUUUAAUUCUGUCCCCCUUCCACUUUUUCACUACACACCCAUGCUACGAGACUGUAUGACAAAUGCCACUCAAAGGCAAGAGGUACACAUCCAGUAUUAGGUUUGUAAGGCAAUUAAAUUGUCCUUUUAAUGUUCUCUUAAUCACUGUGGUUUCUGUAGCGCCAUAUUAGAUACAUGUUGAAAUGAUGUCUUACUUCCACUGAUUAUACCAGUGUCCUU